AUGACAUAGCUUACAAACAAAUGGUUUUUCACCAGUAUGAGUUCUCAUGUGUCUCACUAAAUCACUUUUCCUUGCAAAUUUAUAAUGGCAUAGAUUACAAACAAAGGGUUUUUCACCAGUGUGAGUUCUCAUGUGCCGCACUAAAUGACUAUUCCGCACACUUUUAUAAUGGCAUAGCUUACAAGCAAACAGUUUCUCCCCAGUGUGAGUUCUCAUGUGCUGCACUAAAGUACUAUUCUGCGCACAUUUAUAAUGGCAUAACUUACAAAC